GAAACGACUGCUAAGACUGGAUAGGAAGAUAAAAGGCAUCUUUUAUCUUUUAAAAGACCUAGUAAUAGGUAUGCUUUAGGAGGGGCUUGCGCCAUAUUAGUUAGUUGGUAGGGUAAUGGCCUACCAAGACGAUGAUGUGUAGCUGGACUGAGAGGUUGAACAGCCACAUUGGGACUGAGACACGGCCCAAACUCCUACGGGAGGCAGCAGUAGGGAAUUUUCGGCAAUGGAGGAAACUCUGACCGAGCAACGCCGCGUGAAUGACGAAGUACUUCGGUAUGUAAAGUUCUUUUAUCAAGGAAGAAAAGCAAAUGGCGAACCAUUUGUUUGCCGGUACUUGAUGAAUAAGCCCCGGCUAAUUAUGUGCCAGCAGCCGCGGUAAGACAUAAGGGGCAAGUGUUAUCCGGAAUUAUUGGGCGUAAAGGGUGCGUAGGCGGUCUAGUAAGUCAGUGGUGUAAUGGCAACGCUUAACGUUGUCCGGCUAUUGAAACUGCUAAACUUGAGUUAGAUAGAGGCGAGUGGAAUUCCAUGUGUAGCGGUAAAAUGCGUAAAUAUAUGGAGGAACACCAGAGGCGUAGGCGGCUCGCUGGGUCUUAACUGACGCUGAGGCACGAAAGCGUGGGGAGCAAACAGGAUUAGAUACCCUGGUAGUCCACGCCGUAAACGAUGAGUACUAAGUGUCGGGUUAAACCGGUACUGAAGUUAACACAUUAAGUACUCCGCCUGAGUAGUACGUACGCAAGUAUGAAACUUAAAGGAAUUGACGGGACUCCGCACAAGCGGUGGAUCAUGUUGUUUAAUUCGAAGAUACCCGAAAAACCUUACCAGGUCUUGACAUGUUUUUGCAAAAUGAUAGUAAUAUCGUGGAGGUUACCAGAAACACAGGUGGUGCAUGGUUGUCGUCAGCUCGUGUCGUGAGAUGUUAGGUUAAGUCCUAAAACGAGCGAAACCCUUAUCGUUAGUUGCCAGCACGUUAUGGUGGGGACUUUAACGAGACUGCCAAUGAUAAAUUGGAGGAAGGUGAGGAUCACGUCAAAUCAGCAUGCCCCUUAUGACCUGGGCUACAAACGUGAUACAAUGGCUGUUACAAAGGGUAGCUGAAACGCAAGUUCUUGGCCAAUCCCCAAGAACAGUCCCAGUCCGGAUAGAAGUCUGCAACUCGACUUCAUGAAGUUGGAAUCGCUAGUAAUCGCGAAUCAGCAUGUCGCGGUGAAUACGUUCACGGGUUUGUACACACCGCCCGUCA
rnacentral:rRNA from 1 species